UGUGGAUUUGUGUGUUUUUUUCUUGGUUGUAGUGUGGUAAUCUUGAGUUGUUGUUUUAAAGAAAAAAAAAAGCAUCCCAAAAAUCAAAGCAUGAACUAGAUAAUCUUAAAAGAAUUCAGGAUUGUAAAUCACAGUCAAAUUUAAUUCUUAUUCUACUACAACAUGGUACUACUCAUUUCCAUCUUGCUUACAGCACCUCAGCCCCAUCGCUUUUAGAGAAAAGACAUAUUACUUUGGGGUGCACAAACAAUUUAUGACUACCUCUGAAGACUACAUACAAGAAAUUGAUCUACAAAGAAAUCCAGCUAAAUACUUAAUACACUUGCAAUCCUGCUAGAUCCUGUGUUUUCAUCACUACUUUAAGCAAUGUUACAUUGGCAGGGGUCAAUAUUUGAAUGUCUGCACCUUUUCCGCGAUUCAUGAAGCAGACAUCAACACAUCUAAAUCAUCCAAGAGUCUGGGAGCAGUAAACACUGUCAACAAGAAAACAGUGUUUCCGUUUUCUUAACUUAAACUACAUUCUCAGAGCAGCCGCUCACGUGAAUGUUUGCUACUGCUGCUGCCCAUUUCUUUAAAUAACUAGUGUGAGUAAUCUAUUGAUUAUUUAUAAGCAGCUCUAAAUGCAAAGUCUUCCUUGUCUGCAAGAUGCAAGUUAAUACUCCUUUUGAUCCUCUCUUCUUAGAUAGCAAUGGUCAGAAGCUUGUAAAUGUACAGAACUGCCACCUGCCUGCUGAUGCUGGGUGCCUGCACCACGCUAAAAGAUGUAGAAGACACUAAGCAACAAGAGUGAGCUCAGCCAGAAGAGAAGAGCUAUGGAUUCAAUUUUUUAAUCUGAAGACUGCUUAGAAAUAGAUACUGGAUAAAACCACAUAAAAUCAAUAUUGUUUCAUUUUUAACCUUUAAAAACUAUAGUGUGAGCUGGUUACCCCUAAGGAAUUUUAAGAAUGCAAAUCAAAGUCUCAUUUAGUUGAUUAAGAAUCACAGACAAUCUCUGGAAAUGAAAAUGGAUUUCAGAUGUUUCUCUCAAUCUCUCACUCCUCUCUGUUCACAAUUUGCCAGCAACUUUGAACACCAUAAAAUCCACUAGGAGUGCAAAGUACCAAGCAUGAAGUGUGUGAAGAGAACAGGUACCUUGUUCAGAGUUGCAGAUUUCACUGCUGAAUUGAGCACUGAAAGUUAUAAGGAAUACUUUUUGGAACUGGUUUUAGAGAAAAGACUCUACAGAGGUUACUUCAUUUCUGUCCUGCCACUGCAAGAAAAACACACAUCCUACUUGGGCACACAAGUAUUUCCUAGAGAAGCAUGACAAAUUUAAGCAGCAAGAAAAGCAAACAGGCAAAAGAACAGAAAUUCUAUGGUUCUUGUUAUUCAAUACAUACAAACAUUUAAAAAAAACUGAUCAAAACUUCAAUGCAAAUUUACAGCAAUACAGGCAUUUUGGACACCAUCAAAAAAAAAAAAACAAACGCUUUUGUCCUAAUGGUAGAAAAAAAAUAUUCAGCUAACUCCAUCCCAUUACUCUUUAAAACUUGUAGCUUUAGUUCAUGGCGUAUAUCAGCUGAGGACGUUUGAGAAGGUGGACAAAAGUCUCAGAAGCAGACAAAAUUUUAUUUCAUUCAUUCCUGUUUAGUUACUCCUAUGAUCCACUUUGCUGAAAUAAAUGAGUCAAUCUGGUGAUUGCUUUAGACUGUAGCGAUUUACAAGACAAUGGACUCUGAUUACCAUUUGACUUAAAUAGCUCUCCACAUAGGACAACAGAUUGCUUUGAAAAUUUAAUUCAACAAUCAAGUGAUUCAAACAUUGACUCUUAUUAGACCAUAAAAUUCCAGCUACGCAUUCUAAUAUUCAUAUAAAUGAACUGCUGUUCCACUAGAUAUGCGAAAUUCUCUGGCCAAACAAAACACAGAGUUUCUCAAGAGCUAUGAUACUCCCCUUUGAACUCAAUUUCAGAAAACUGAAACUCACUAGUUUCGUACUUGAGAGCCACUGGUGAUAUGAGAAACUAUUUUUAAUUAUUACUUGCCCCUGAGCAGGCAAGGUUUUUGUGAACCAAGGAGUCAAGUCCUGUCCUGACAGUUGCUGAUAGAACCUGCUGCAAACCAUACUUGUCUGGGGGAACUCACUGCCAGCCACAGCUCCAUAUAUUUAAACCAUCAAAAUUAUAUGAUUACUCUCUACUGGGCAAUUUCAGUCAUUAAUGAAUCAUUCAAGUUGUAUCCUAGAUAAGAAAAGAUUUGAAACUCUGGUUCUAGUUCACAGUACUUUUUCAAAUGCAUGAACGAACUUCCAUUUAUUUCAUAACACAAUUGCUCAUAAGAUUCCCUUUUUCUGCUUUUCGCUGUACUACAUUUCCAACCUGGCAUUUUCAUCAAUGUUUGUGACUCCUUUCUUACAAAAGCAUGAAGCGACUACCAGGAAUUCUUCCAUUUGCUUUUCUACUAAACGUACUAUUACUAAUAUUUGAACUUUUGCAAAAUUGUUCAUGAAGACUUUUAGAUGGAACAUAAACAAGGAACAUUAGAAUGGGCAGCAAAGUUUCAAACAGGAUACAUUUUCUACAAACUGUUCAUCUCUCAGCAUCCAUUCAGAUAUUCUUUAACGCAAAAACUUCAAACAGCUAUCUAGAGUAGCCAAUUCUCAAAGUACAAGGGCAACAAAAAAAAAAGAAAAUGGAAGGAAACAGCAAAUAACAUUUUUCAUUUUGUUAAAUGGUGCAGGCAAUUCGUGACUCUUGACAGCAUCUUUUGUCAGUAUUGAUGUGUUAAAUAGAGCAAAGAAGAAGCAAACAAUCACGGUUCACUGAAACGGGGCUCUUUUCUUUCUGGGCCUUGUUUGAAAGAGAUUAGAAGAGUGGGGGUGAUAGAUGGGUGAAGUAUUUGUUGAACAGAAACCAAGCACCACAAAAUAGUAUAGUUUGAGAAUCCUACACAGCACAAAUGUAGUCUGGAAUCCUUCAAGCAAUGCAGAAUUUGUCUUCUAUUUCAGUGACUUCAUUCAGUCCUUAAAACAAGAGAUCCAACAAAUGGGCACAGUUCUCCAAAAGGAAACCACGGUGAAGGUUAGGAUCUUCUGUCACAUAAUCGCAGCAUUAGCUACACUUCAAAUUACACUAUCAGCAACACCUAAGGUUGCCGAGAUGUGAACUCCUGUCAAGAUGCUGAUAAACUAGUGUGACAUCACCAGGGAUCACAUCACAUCAAUCCUUUGUAAUGCAUAACUCUGAAGCACAAUAUGGCCUCUACAGUGUUGAACACAGUUCAACUGAAGGAAGCAACACAAAAAAGUUCUCUCCAAAGUACUGAACUACACUCUAAAUCACUUACCAAUAAUUUGUUUGAUGAUUUGCACAGCUGUAUAUACAAAGGAUCUAAGUAAGACAUGUACAAAGUAACUUAUGUUACAUUGAUUUGACUUUUAAAGCUAAUUCCAUAUGCUAUGAAAUUAGAGCCAGCUCAAAUUCCCAACAGCAGAUUUGCAGACAGGCUCCAGGAAGCUUUCCAAGUAAAAGGAAUUCAGCAUCCUCUCAGAAAUGCUCUACUUCAAGGAGCUGUGCGAAACCUUCCCUAGAAACAUGAAACAAACGGCAUUCUGAACACUGCAGGAGUUUGGAAUUCCCAGUUCCCCUGACUGUUGCACUUUCCUGCAACAGGAGACAGGAGCCUAAGCUCCAGUGCACCAUGGAAAAUAGAUUUGAGUGGAGGAAAGGAACAAGUGGAAAGAAUGGACAUCAACUAUGAAGAAAGCCUCACUGAACUCAUGUCUUCUCUUUGCAUCCUGUGAUCACUCAAACAGGGAACGAAGAUCAUUGAGUCCAACCACCUGAUCACCUCAGGGCUCAUCAAAAAAGUUACAGCAUGUUAUUGAGGGCACUGUCCAGAUGACUCCUGAACACCGACAGGUUUGGGACAGCAACCACCUCACUAGGAAGCUACUUCCAUGUCCAGCCACCUUCAGAGUACAGAAAUUCUU